rnacentral:rRNA from 1 species
AUUGAACGCUGGCGGCAGGCCUAACACAUGCAAGUCGAGCGAGCGGAGGACGGGUGAGUAAUGUAUGGUGAAUGCCCGAAAGAGGGGGAUAACUACUGGAAACGGUAGCUAAUACCGCAUCCUAUCGGAUAACCCAUAUGGGAUUAGCUAGUAGGUGAGGGAAUGGCUCACCUAGGCGACGAUCCAUAGCUGGUCUGAGAGGAUGAUCAGCCAAACUGGGACUGAGACACGGCCCAGACUCCUACGGAGGCAGCAGUGGGGAAUAUUGCACAAUGGGCGAAAGCCUGAUGCAGCAAUGCCGCGUGUAUGAAGAAGGCCGUAGGGUUGUAAAGUACUUUCAGUCGGGAGGCGUUACCGAAAGAAGAAGCACCGGCUAACUACGUGCCAGCAGCCGCGGUAAUUC